GCUGGGCGUGGAGGCGCACACCUGUAAUCCCAGCAAUUUGGGAGGCUGAGGCAGGGGGAUCUCAGGGUUGAGGCCAUCUUCAGCAACUUACCAAGAUCCUGUCUUAA
rnacentral:sRNA from 1 species